UAACACUCCGUGACUACCUUUAGGAGCGAUGCGGAGACGGAGCAGUGACACUUCCGCGAGCCGACGGAAUGGCACGUUGAAGAGUGUAGACGUAGAUCACGGCAGGCAAAUCCGCCGUGAGAGUCGAACUUGAAAGUACAGGGUCCUCUUCGGAGGAACCUGAUAGCGAGGGUAAGCAUACUCCCGAGAAAAUCCGCUAAGCAAUCCUAAAGGUACCCGUACCGUAAACGGACACACGUAGUCGGGUAGAACAUACUAAGGCGUUGAGAGAUUCAUGGUUAAGGAACUAGGCAAACUGACCCCGUAACUUCGGGAUAAGGGGUCCUCGUGAAAGCGAGGCGCAGAGAAUAGGUCCAGGCAACUGUUUAACAAAAACACAGGGCUGUGCGAACUCGAAAGAUGAAGUAUACAGCCUGACACCUGCCCGGUGCCGGAAGGUUAAGAGGAGAUGUCAACCUUUAUGGCGAAGCAUUGAAUUGAAGCCCCGGUAAACGGCGGCCGUAACCAUAACGGUCCUAAGGUAGCGAAAUUCCUUGUCGGGUAAGUUCCGACCUGCACGAAUGGUGUAAUGAUCCGGACGCUGUCUCAACCAUGAGCUCAGUGAAAUUGUAGUAUCGGUGAAGAUGCCGAUUACCCGCGAUGGGACGAAAAGACCCCGUGAACCUUUACUACAGCUUAGCAUUGACCUUGGUCAUCCGAUGUGUAGGAUAGGCCGGAGGCUUUGAAGCGGCGUCGCCAGGCGUUGUGGAGCCAUCCUUGAAAUACGGCCCUUUGGCUGUCUGAGGUCUAACUCGCGAUAGCGAGGACACUGUUUGGUGGGUAGUUUGACUGGGGUGGUCGCCUCCAAAAGCGUGACGGAGGCUUCCAAAGGUGCCCUCGGGCCGAUUGGUAACCGGCCUUAUAGAGUGCAAUGGCAUAAGGGCGCUUGACUGGGAGGCAGACAUGCCGAGCAGGCAGGAAACUGGGGCAUAGUGAUCCGGCGGAUGUGUAUGGAAACUCCGUCGUUCAAAGGAUAAAAGGUACUCCGGGGAUAACAGGCUGACCCCCCCCAAGAGCUCAUAUCGACGGGGUGUUUGGCACCUCGAUGUCGGCUCGUCACAUCCUGGGGCUGGAGAAGGUCCCAAGGGUUGGGCUGUUCGCCCAUUAAAGUGGCACGCGAGCUGGGUUCAGAACGUCGUGAGACAGUUCGGUCUCUAUCUAUCGUGGGCGCAGGAGUUUUGAGUGGUGCCGUCACUAGUACGAGAGGACCGUGAUGGACAGACCUCCGGUUUGCCAGUUGUACCGCCAGGCGCACCGCUGGGUAUCCGAGUCUGGUUAGGAUAAGCGCUGAAAGCAUCUAAGUGCGAAGCCAUCCGCAAGAUGAGAACUCCAUUGAGGGUCGUUGUAGACGACGACGUAGAUAGGCUGCAGGUGUAAAGACGGUGACGUCAAAGCCGAGCAGUACUAAUUGCCC
rnacentral:rRNA from 1 species